UCGUACGGAACCCGGCCUCGCCAUUUUCACCCAGCUAAGAGAACGGGAGCCCGGGCAGAAAAAACAACCCUUCCCCAAAUCCGAUCGAUGAGUCCAACGGUUACUCAGGGAGAAGAACCUAGCUCCACCCCUUGCUCUCAUUCAGAGGCAGCCGCGGCAGACCGAGCGGGAAGGGAAUAGGUGGGAGGAAAAUAAGAAUUCGGAGAUCUUCUAUUGGCUAAGUUGGACCAAUGGAGGCAGCCAAGCGCGAGGAAGGCGCGGCUUAGCCACUUUGUCGCUUAUUAAUUGUCGGAGUGAACGCUGGGAUGACCCGGAACGCUUACUCCAGGUGCCGAUGAUUCUUCCAACAAUGCAACACAGUCGGCUUUGCUAUUGAGUGCUACUUUUGCUAAUAUUGGGACAUAAUAGUACCAAGCGUACAAAAGUAAAAGAUUAAACUUGACAGUGUCAAAUAGAUGAUUACGGUAAUAUUGUUAAUUCCUUUGGUACGUUACCUUGCGCUUCUCGGAGCAGAGGAUGAGAGAAUGAAUGAAUGGGCUACUGGACACCCAAGUACUUUACUCACGAAAACAGUUUGGGGUCAGCCAGAAAAAGAGGCUGAAGCGGUAACACCUUGGCUCUAUCCCAGAAGUGCUGGAGUUUUGAAUACCCCUUGACAGCUGCCAAGGCACCUGUGUGGAUUAUUCCUAAUGGGGAUGAAGGUGUGGUUCACAGCCAGCAUUAGAGAUCAGCAUCAUUGGGCAUCUACUGACCCUGGUGGGAUCCACCAAUAACCCCAGAGGGAUAGGAAUCCAUAGAAACAAUUCUGAACUUUUGCCCUGCAGAUGAAGGCUUCUGAAAUUCCCGCCAAUUCCACGUGCAGUGCCAGUAACAUAGCAGUAUAUGAUGUACUGAGACCUACUCCAACCUGACCCGUGGAUUCUGGGUAAAAUCAUUCACCUUGAUCAAGCCGUCUGGCCCAAUGCUGUAUAGAGAACAUAAAAAUAGAGGUUUGCUCAAUCAGCAGGACUUGUUCUGUAUGAAACAUUCUACACUUUUUAUGUCGCACAUGUAAUUGUAGUAUCAUAUUCUGUCUUUCCAAAUGUAAUUUUUGCUUCUACCUCUUUGAAAAUUUACAUUGAUUUUAAAAGAACUUCAUUUAGUGUAGUAGUAAUACAUGAAGAUUAGACUGCAAGUCAAGGAAUGCCACAAGGCGGCAGCAAUCAUGUAUAUCCUGAAAUGAAGGCUGCUUUCACACAUAACACUUUUCCUAACACAGAGCCAAAGGGGAUAGGGACGUUACAAUUUAAAACAGAUGCAUAAAUAAAGAAUUUUUGCUAUCAGUGGUCACUACAAUAGGAUUAACUAUAAAAUGUCAGGGAGAAGGGUUGAGUGGUCCACUAAAUGCCCUCUCAAUGGGCAAAAAUAAGAUAAAGUUGAGAAUAUUUGUAUUCAUUUCAGCUAAAAGUAUGUACUUAAUUAUUUCUUGUUGAAUAAACAGGACAUAAAAUGCUUAAUUUUUGUUGAAUUGUGCCCAAAGGACUUCUAGAGAGAUCCCCCCCCCAAUGUGAAUGGGAAAAUAUUUUAAAUUCCUAAGUAUCAGAAUCAAGAGGUGUUGCAGAAUGUUGGGUUGGGACCUGCAAAACUAGGGUUCAAAUCCCCAUUCAGGCAUAAAGCUUACUGGAUGACCGUGGCCCAGUCACAGCCUCACAGUGUUGUUGUGAAGAUAAAGUGGGGGGGGGAGAGAAACAUGUAUGCAAC